rnacentral:lncRNA from 1 species
GUCACUGAUUGUCUUUGUAUACAGUCAUUAAUUGUUUUUUAAUGCCGCCUUCGUGAGGACACGCCCCCUCAUGACGCAGACCCGUCCUAGCCUGAUGACUGGCUGAUUUCAAAAAAGGAAAAUGGCGCGUACUCACAGACACGAACACACCGAGGGGGACGUCUCACCGUCCCGGUGUCGCCACCAGCUCGUGUCACCGCGGGGCUCAGUCCGUUGUUCGUUAAGUUCUCUGUCGUUCACCGGAUCCGGGUUCUAUCCUCCCCCGGUCACGGCCCGGGCCGCUCCUCACCGGACUCUGCUGCUGUCGUCCGACUUCCGGGAACUCGAGACGAGCUUCACUUCACGUCUUUCCACUGAAGCGUCGUCGUCGGCGUUGUCGUCCGUCUUCGAGGCAGCGGCUCGUUGUUUGUGACCGGGGAGGUUGAAAUGAAGUCGUGCAAGAAGAAAAAUGUCAUCGUCUGCCGUUGAGUGCGAACAGAGCUCCAGCUGCCUCUCUGGUAAAUGUAACAUUAAGUGCACAGUUAAUAAGUUAAAGUAUAAUUAUAAAAGCAAAGUUUGCAAACACAAAAAUUUGCCCUUUCACACGCACAAGGAAUGUGGAAAUACUGAAUCACAACUGACAUUAAAUUGCACAGUGUAAUUUUAAUAUAUGUCAAAUCACAAUAUAAAUAAAUAAAACCUUUAUGAAAUAAUUAAAACAAUAUUUCCUAUGUAACAUCAAGUAGGAUUUCACGUGCAAUAAAUUCACACCCAACAAUUUACAGUAGUAUUUUAUAUCGGCUCAUUUAUGGCCAGUUUUUUUUUUACUAUCAAAGAUUUUUCCAACUGUGCUAAAAGUUCUGAUGAGCAGGGUUCCUACGCAGUAUGGAAUUUGAUUUCCGUUAUUUCCGGGUCAGGUUUGUGUUUCCAGGCUGAAGUCUGAACUGACGUGAAUCCAAGGAUACGUGGCAUCAUUUAGAUUAUCCUGGUGAUGAAGUAUGAAUAUUUCAAUAACAAUCCGCACAUGCACAGAAACGGUGACUUUAUGUCUAUGAUAUGUUAACAGUUGGAUCUUAAAAUCAUUUAUUUACAUAAUGAUAUUCAUUUUUAUAAUAAUAUUUACUUAUGGUAGUAUUUAUUUACCUAUAGACAUCUAGCUAUUUGUACUCAGAUGUCAAAUAUAUUCUGAAAAAUCAACAGGGGGAGGAGGACAUUUUUCCUCUGGAAUUUUGAAAUGGAAAAAUGUGAAGAAACCCUGAGUGAGGCAUCAAAACUUCAUAUGCUUCGCAGCAGCAGGACACGAUGG